rnacentral:rRNA from 1 species
AGAUGGCGACCGGCGCACGGGUGAGUAACACGUAUCCAACCUGCCGAUAACUCGGGGAUAGCCUUUCGAAAGAAAGAUUAAUACCCGAUGGUAUAAUCAGACCGCAUGGUCUUGUUAUUAAAGAAUUUCGGUUGUCGAUGGGGAUGCGUUCCAUUAGGCAGUUGGUGAGGUAACGGCUCACCAAACCUUCGAUGGAUAGGGGUUCUGAGAGGAAGGUCCCCCACAUUGGAACUGAGACACGGUCCAA